rnacentral:misc_RNA from 1 species
GUAGGUGAACCUGCGGAAGGAUCAUUACCGAGUUCAUGCCCUCACGGGUAGAUCUCCCACCCUUUGUAUACCUUACCUUUGUUGCUUUGGCGGGCCGCCUAGCUACUGGCCUCGGCUGGUAAGUGCCCGCCGGAGGUAUCUAACUCUUGAACUUUUAUGGCCCCUCUGAGUCUUUGUACUUAAUAAGUCAAAACUUUCAACAACGGAUCUCUUGGUUCUG